rnacentral:lncRNA from 1 species
GCCUUGUUUCAUGCAACUCUUGUUUGGUUGACUUAUUGUUGUGUAAUAUUUAGUUUAUUUUUAUUUUUUCUCUCUGGAUGCUUUUGUUGUAAGGUCAUUUUUGUCUGGUUGAGUGAGCCUGGUAAGUAAUUUAUAGUGACUUUUAUAAUGACUGCAUUUUUGUGUCAAUGUGUUAAUGUCCUAGGGCCCCCAGAAUUCACAGAAAGCUGUGUCACGUGGCCCCUGACAACAUACAGAGAGGGUAAAGUCUAGCAAUGCAAAACACUUAUUGUCAGAUAUCUAUGAAACACCUAUGAAAAUGAGGUCAUGGUCCUGUGACCUGAAACUAAUUUAGAGAUACAUCUCAAUGUGACAAAAAGCAGGUGUUUAGGGGGCAUGAAAGGCACCUUGUGAUCGUGCCCCGGCAGGGCCCUAGGACAUUAAGGCAUAGGAAAAAAUGCAGUCACUAUAAAAGAAAUUACUUUCCAGGCUCAGUCAACAAAACAAAAAUGACGUUACCACAAAAGCAACCACAGAAAAAACAGGAAAUAAAAUAUCACACAACAGUAAGUCAACCAAACAACAAGAGUUAUAUAUUAUUAUUAUUAUUAUUAUUAUUAUUAUUAUAUAUGUAGUAGGGUGGCCCUUUAAGUACAUUGCGUGUGUUGUGUGGUAAUCAUGUUACAUACCUAUAUAGGAGCAGGUGAGGUGUCAGUACUCGAUUAGCAUUGUAUUGCUCUGACCUGUUUGUGUGACGCUUAUAUCUGAACUCCUCUGAUUAAUUGGGUGCAUCCAGGCCAUGUCUGCGGGCGUGUAUGUGUAGCGCUCCUGAGAGAAAUGGUGUAAACACUGAGCUUGCAAAAGAAGAGUUUUUAGGCUUGAAGCUGUUAAUUGCCAGGAUGUUCAAAGACAAGACCUGCCUCAGCCUUCGGGAGCUCAUGUUGACCAGAGAGCCCUACUGCUCAGAGUACAAGAACAUCCUGCACCUUGUACACAUUAUGUUGGUCCUCCCUGUCUCAGCCGCAGUUUGUGAGAGAGGGUUCUCUGCACAGAAGAGGAUCAAAUCAGACAUUAGAGCAUCCCUUCAUUUAAAUACAGUUGAAGAUCUUAUAAUAAUCAGUGUAGAGGGGCCAAGUCUGGAAGAUUUUGAUGCUCGAGAGAGUGUGGCCAGCUGGUUUAGCCAAGGCCAAAGAUCAAGAAGGCCAAACUACAGGAGUUGGCCAUCCGAGGGGCAUGUGACUGCAAUGGAGGAUAGUCCAUAAGACAUUGAGCCAUGAGAUGCUCAGUUUGAAGCCCUUGAAACACUUAAUUAAAAUUUUCUUUUUAUUUAAUUUAUCUUGAGAUGUUUUAAGUUUAAAUUUCAGCUCAGUGAAGCACUUCAAGCACCAACACUUUUUUUUUGUUAUCUUUCUUGUAGAAUUGUGCCUCAAAUAAAGAACUUUAUGUUGACCAGAUUGUUAGUUAAUCAUUUACAAGUCAAUAUUGCCUAUAAAAAAAAAGAAGUGAACUUGUAUAACUGUGGUGUUAAAUGCAAUGCGGUUGAAAAUUUGGGUGCACCUAAAGAAAAAAAGUUAGGCGCACCAGUGCAACCAGUGCAAAAAGUUAGUCUAGAGCCCUGAGAAGACUGUGACGUUGUUAUUUGGGAGUAUAUGUAAUAGAGAUUUGUGUGUAUAGUUGUCAGGGUGCGGGCUAGACAGAGGACUCAGAUGCAGAGUAGGGAAAAGGAGAAUCUUUAUUCUCGCCACAAAACACAAAAUAACAUAAACAAUAAUUAAAUGCUCUGGCGCACACAGAGAUCUCCGAGCUGGCCGGCACACUGCGGACCACUCGCGCUGCCGGAUCUCCGAACUACGGAUCCUUAGACGGGAAAACAGAAGGUGAGAAUGCAGCUUGGACACCACACAAACCACGGGCAAAGACAAAACAAUCUACUCACAACGACAGACAGAGAGGCAGAGACAUAUAAGGGAGCUGGGGAACAAGCGACAGGUGGGGAAGACUCAGCUCGUGAUCUGCGCACCCCUGCCACGAUCAGCGCUGAUUGCCCAGACCACGAGCUACCGAACAGACAGGACAACACAGACCGCAGGGGAAGCUGAGAAGGCACCCUGCACCGUGACAGAUAUGAUACCUCUUCAUUCACUGCUACGAAUUGAUGGCGGUCAUAUAAGUACGAUUUAAACCAUGCUAAUGCACUUCCAUUAAUGCCAACAAAGUGUUCUUGUCUAUGCAACACUAUGGUCAAUAGUGUCGAAUGCAGCACUACGAUCCAGUAGCACUAAUAGAGAGAUACAACCACGAUCAGAUGAUAAGAGCAGGUCAUUUGUAACUCUAAGGAGAGCAGUCUCAGUACUAUGAUACGGUCUAAAUCCUGACUGGAAAUCCUCACAGAUGCCAUUUUUCUCUAAGAAGGAAUGUAAUUGUGAGUAUACUACCUUUUCUAGUGUCUUGGACAGAAAAGGGAGAUUCGAGAUCGGUCUAUAAUUAACUAGUUCUUUGGGGUCAAGUUGUGGUUUUUUGAUGAGGGGCUUAAUAACAGCUAGUUUGAAGGUUUUGGGGACAUAUCCUAAUAACAAUGAGGAAUUAAUAAUAGUCAGAAGAGGAUCUAUGACUUCUGGAAGCACCUCUUUUAGGAGCUUAGAUGGAAUAGGGUCUAACAUACAUGUUGUUGGUUUAGAUGAUUUAACAAGUUUAUCGAGAUCGGUCUAUAAUUAACUAGUUCUUUGGGUCAAGUUGGGGUUUUUGAUAAGGGCUUAAUACAGCUAGUUUGAAGUUUUGGGGUACAUAUCCUAAUAACAAUGAGGAAUUAAUAAUAGUCAGAAGAGGAUCUAUGACUUCUGGAAGCACCUCUUUUAGGAGCUUAGAUGGAAUAGGGUCUAACAUACAUGUUGUUGGUUUAGAUGAUUUAACAAGUUUAUACAAUUCUUCCUCUCCUAUAGUAGAGAAUGAGUGGAACUGUUCCUCAGGGGAUCUAUAGUGCACUGUCUGAUGUGGUACUGUAGCUGAUGGCUGCAUGGUUACAAUUUUAUCUCUGAUAGUAUCGAUUUUAGAAGUAAAGUAGUUCAUAAAGUCAUUACUGCUGUGAUGUUGGGAAAUGUCAACACUUGUUGAUGCUUUAUUUUUCGUCAAUUUAGCUACUGUAUUGAAUAAAUACUCUGCAACUGCAGAGCAAAAGUCUAAGGAAGACUCAAAUAUAUUGGCAUAGGUUAUUGCUUGGGAGAAAUGUGUCCAUUUAUUGGUUCCUUAAGAAUAUCGAUUUUUGCCAUUGGGUUAACGACUACCCAUUAAUCAACAAUACCCCAUUAAUCAUUUCUGUACACUUGUACGGUGCAUCCAAAAAUGUUUGGCUGCACUUAAAUCAGGAAAAGCAGCUUUACAUGCUUUUCCAAUGUGGUCACAAGAGAAGAUGGAACAGUGCUCUCUUGGCAGUAGCCAUUGCCAUUAUUGCUUCAGCCUGUUUCAAAGAGUCAGUUGUUUUUUUUUGUGUUUUUUUUAUGACUUGCUUGAUUAUUGGGCAUGGACUUUUCAGUGCUUCUGAGUUGAUGCAUGGUUCUUAAUGUCAGUUUGGCACAAAAUUCUGUCUUGCAACAGAGACAGUAAGCCCUUGUGUCAUUGCCCACAUAAGGCUUUAGCCACCCCUUGAAUUCAGGGAUUAAUUCCCAUUAUUUUCUACACUUCUUGGUAAUAUAUGUCAGAGUGUGACAUGUUAGCUAUCUUAAGUGUGUGUAAUAUUCUAGCUGUAUGUAUUUAUAUUUAUAUUGUGUAUGUGUUUUUAUGUUUG